UGAACACGCACAAACAGGUAGCACAGCA
rnacentral:piRNA from 1 species